CACUUUCCCAACUCCUUUUCAAUUUCUCACAUUAAAGACCACUUUUAAUGACUCUGACUCUAUCCCCUGGGAAGGAAAUGGACUAUCUAUUUAGUUUGCCCUGCUUUGGGGGUUACUGGAGUUGGAAGAGUUUGUAGAAGAUUUGGGGUUUUAGGAGAUUGUGUCAUCACAAGUCACAGACCAUUGUAAUUGGAGAAGCCUUCUGGAAGAGGCCAUCAGAGAAGGCACCCAGUGGUUGCCCUCGGGAUGGAUGAUGAGCCAUUUGGUUGGUCAGGGGCAAGGCUCAUUGUGCGGAACCGGAGUCUUGGUAUUUUUAAUUGCCCUCAUAAUUUUUAUUACCAGUUAUGAGUAUCCUGGGUGACUAUGUCAUAGACCAAGAAAAUAACCUCUGAACAGAAUAUGCCAAGAGUGAAGUGGGCUGGGGCAUUUCAUUUCUAAAAGUACACAUGGCAUGGAGUCAGCAGCUUCACGCUGGGAAGUGCCCGAGAAAAGGGGAGGAGCGAUGCACCCCUGGCCUGCUGAGAGGAGUCUGUGCCAGCCUCACUUCUGAUGCCUCACAGCUCUCUGACACGAUUGCAUCCCCCAGAUGCCUCACGGAGAAAAUGUGAAUUUGGGACUGGUGACACGUCAAUUAAUUUCACAACACCGGAAAGCACACUCAGGAUGCUGGUCUUAUCACGUGUUGGAUCUCACUGGAUUAGCUGUUUUCCCUCCAGUGGCUGGAGCCUAGGACCAUCCUGGAUGGCAGCAUCUCAGACUCAGAAUAGUGCAGCAACAGGGAAAGCUAUUCAAAAAGUUGUCUGUUUACUCUGUUGAUAGUUCCUUUUGGUGCAAGCAUCUGGAAAGCUCUCAAGUACCAGACUGGGGUUAUAGGUUCUUGGGAGGAAGGCCACAGAGAUAGAGGGCCAUUUUCAUCACAUCCUGUCAAGGACAAAGAAUAUGAAGCCGAUAGGGAUAAAGUGAGUAACCCAAGGUCACAAGACAAGAGAGCUGGUCCAGGACAAGAACUUGGUGCUCAUGUCAGGUUCUCUCUGCCACAUCUUGAGAAUACGUGCAUCCUUUGCCUUUUAAGACUCCAUCAGCCUCGAAGUUCAUUUGUGUGGCACUAAAAGUAAACCAAAAGCAGGAAGCUAAGGAUCUUUCACCUCUAAUGCACCCUGACCUUGGCUAUUUCAUGUCAGGGUCUGUGCAGUCUAAGCCCAGGCAGCCAACAUGCUUGGAGGAUACUUCAUGUAGUGGUACCUACAGCUCUUUCCAGAAGGCCAUGAAAAUCGAAUUACAUGAAGUAUGAGCCACAAAGAAGUGCUACACAGCCAAUAUAUCACACCACACAUGAUGACUCACAUGUGAUUUGAACUUGUCUCUAUUUGGUUAAAUCUGGGCUCACGAAUACUUGAGAGACAAGGCCUCACUCUGUUGCCCAGGCUGGAGUGCUGUGAUGCGAUCAUGGCUCACCGCAACCUCAACUUCUUGGGCUCAAGCAAUCCUCCUGCCUAAGCUUCCUGAGAAGUGGGGACCACAGACAGAGAGGCCGUAGAGGGUUCUUGCAUCCCUUGACUUCCUGAGCAAGCCUCUUCCUGCUCUAAUGUCUACGUGGAUCAUGGGGACCUCAUGCAAUGCAGACACUAUUUCAGAAGGUCCAGGUUCCUUGCUUUGAUGAAGCAAGCUGCCAUGUUGGAGACAAAUGACUGAGGACAAUGUCCGGCCAACAAGCAGAAAGGAAAUGAAUCUACCACCAACUAUGUGGACAUGGAAGUGGAUUCUUUUCCUGUUGAGCCUUCUGAUGACUCCAGCUCAGCCGAUGCCUUGAUGCAGCUAGGUGAGAGACCUCCAGCUAGGUGACCAGCCAUCCAGUUGGCCCUGGACUGAGGGAAGUGGCUGGGAUGCAGGGCUUUCUAUUGUCUAACUGAUGCAGUUUCUAGAAACCCAUCCCAGCAUGCCUGGAAAUGAAUUUUUUGGGAUGAAGUCUUUUUGGUGCUAAGACAGGGAAAAUCCUGGGCAAAUUCUGAUGAGUUGUUCAUCUUACGCAAGAGACCCAGGUAACCUGUGCCUGGAUUCCUGAUCCACCGAAAUCAUGAGCUAAUACAUAUAGGCUGUUUUAGGCUGCUAAUUCCUGUGGCAAUUUGUUGCCGGCAAUAGAUAGGGAGAUGGGAAGGGAUUG
rnacentral:lncRNA from 10 species